rnacentral:rRNA from 1 species
AGGCAGCAGUGAGGAAUAUUGGGCAAUGCCCGCAAGGGUGACCCAGCAACGCCGCGUGGAGGAUGAAUGCCGUAAGGUUGUAAACUCCUGUUAGAGGGGAAGAAAAAUCUCGAUCAAAUCGAGAACUGACUGUACCCUCAGAGAAAGCCCCGGCUAACUACGUGCCAGCAGCCGCGGUAAU